CAUUGCUAUUCUAUAUAGUAGUAAUAUAAAAUUUAUAUAGUUGGUACUAUCUAGGGUUUUAACAAAAUCAGGCCUGUUUUUGUUUUAACAAAAUCAGGCCUGUUUCUGUUUCUGCUAUUUGCAUUGUGUAAGGUCUAUCAUGUUGGAUAUCAAAAGAAAUUGUAACGCUUCUCUACCGUGUAUCCCAAGUCUGUAUUGGCUGCAAAUCCGAUAAAUAUAUCUUAAGAGGGAAAAAUGGGAGCUUCCAUUCAUAGAUCAUCGAGAGACAGAGGCAUAGGAGGAAAAUCAAAUCUCCAUACUUAAAGUGUGAUGAAGUAUCAAAAACAGGAAAAACUGUGAUGCCUAUUGAAUUUCAGGUCAAUGACACUAAUUUAGCGGAAAUUGAAGGUGGAGAGGUUACUGUCCUGCAAUGGUCCAGAGUUUGUAAUGCAACUUAGCUUUCACGUAAAGGAUAGCAGUGAUUGAAAGUUUGUUCAGGAACAAAAUCCUCCUCCAAAGCACAUGCUCACCUGAGGUGUGUUUAUUUUCCGGUGGUGCAGGGUAAAGAGAGUAUUGAGGUGAUAUUGGAAAAGCUAGAGGCAGAUGGGUAUGGAAUUACCGAGAAUUUUGAAACUGUCCGUUGGUCGGGUCGUCUGCUUCCAGAUGCUCGUUGGGUAAGGUCAGAAUCUUUCUGUUAUUCAUAGUUUACAAAUUAUAAUUUACCAGUCUUGUAUUCCAUCACUACAGUCUGCCAAAUAAUACCUUCAUGAUAAUAUAUGUCCAAAAUUUGAAAGAAGGAACAUGUGUGCCUGUAAUUUACGUGUAUAUUGUGUUAUUCUCUGUUUUGUUUCUUUUUAUGGAACCAAAGCCAAGAAAAAGUGAUAGGGCUGAAGUCCUGAAGAGAUGCUGCUUUAGAGUAAAAUGCUUCAUAGGUAUAAAACCAUUUGUACAAAACAAGUGCUCUCUUAUUAAUGAAUAAGCAAUUGCUUCUUUUCUCCAAGCAUCACUGAGCAAUAUUCUGCUUGCAAAGACCGAUGCUGGUUUCAACCCAACACCGUCAAAGGUACAAGAUAGCUUUCCAAAAUUUCUGACGACUUGACUGAGGAUUUAAUUGCACGUCAGCACGUGUACAUACAGAAACGCAUUUCCGGAAUGCAAAAUGAGAAUAUUUAUAUGCAUGUCUAUAUAUCAAGGCAGUAACUAUUCCAUGUGCAGUUAUUCCAGGACCAUUGCAGCAUAUCCUGCUGCAUCCUGUAGAUUUUUGCAAAAAUCAAUUGGCAUGCACCAAGACACCAACACAAAUAAAGGGGCAUUAACUAAUCCGCGUGACUCGAGAAACUUGGGGAUGAUAUUGCAGAUAUGGCCUAUGCAUCAGACAAUGUGAUGCAAAUGUGGAAUCACUUAAUAUUAAUCAAUCAAAUAUUGAGCUUGAGAUGUCCAACUUGCGAGUCCAAUAAUUGAUGGAGCCAUAUCAUUGGAUGGUGGGAUCAUAAAGAGUCCUGACAUAUUUUCCCUAGGCAAAAGAUGAGAUCAUCAUAACCUCAAAUCUUAAGUUCUCAAGACAGAUUACAAGAUAUCGGUCAUCCAAAAGUCUCCCAAUUGAAGCUCCAUCCCCAUGAAGAUCAGAACAUUUAUUCGUAGGACCUUUCUUAUCAUAUGUCAGCAGUGCUUUAAGUCCAUCAUGCGUCUUGCAAACAAAUGCUAACAUGGUUUCUAGCCCAAGAUAUUCUGAGAGAGUCCUGGAUUUAAGAGAUUUAGAUACAAAUGUCAGUCAUAAUACAAUGAACUUCUAAAUUUCUUUUGGUUUGUAUGGUGAACUUCCAUUAUCUGCAUACUUCUUGGUAAAGAAAUGGCAAUAGGGUCAAACUCAACCCCUAAAAUAUAUCUCAUGGGAUGAUUGCCCAAGCUUGUAUAUAUAAACCACACAUUCAUUACCCAACUAAUUUAGGACUAUUUAGUACGACCUAAGAAAGAGAGAAAACGUUCAAAUACCAACUAACAUUCUACCCUAAUCUGCGACCUCCAAACCCUAAUUACUCUAAACAUACCUAUGACAAAUUCAAAUACCAGAUGAUAACAUUUUGUCAAAAGUCCUGCAGCCACAUAUUGUCAUCUUGAUUGGGACAGAGUGAACAAGUGCUAUAAUCUCUUGAACAUGGACUAGUAUAGAAAGUGGACUCAUACAAAGCUCAUUUCUUUUUUCUUCUUUAUCUAUUUUUUAAAAAAAAAAAACGCCAGCAAUUACUGGAUGCUAUGUGAAACUAACCCGUUGAGAUUAUCAUCGUCAACCACGCCAAGCAAAGCAACAAUUUCUAUCACGUCCUUCAUGUACGGAAUAUAUGUUGCCAGCUCAAAACAAUUCAAUGUUAAUAUUUCUUCAAUGGUCUCCAACUAAUUCUGCCAAUUAGAAGAUUCCUUAUUUUCAGAACCAUUUUCACUUGCUGAAUAAGUCUUGGUGAGAGAAACUACAAUACCCCACAAGCACAAGGCAUUAAAAUUGAGAAACAGUGAGAAGGCAUAUGACAAAAGCGAAAGAAAGUUUAACUGAAUGCUAUAGUCUACACGGAGUGCUUUUAAAUAGGCAAUACCCACAUUAAACCCAUGAACAAUAUAUUAAGCUCACUGAAACAAGUUGAUGGUUGAUAUUCUGCGCAAAGGUAAUCAGGAAAUCAAUAUUUACUUGAAAUGUGAAAGACGCCCAUUGAUAUGAAAAUCUUAAAAUGUUUGAUUGUUUACUUCCCAUAAAGACAUAAUAAAAACAUUAUAUUCUAGGUUACUAAAAGAACAAAAUAACUACAGUAACCUUUGAAAAUUGCAUGUGCAUUUUACAACACACCUAAUUAACUUUAAAAAAGGAAACAAUACCUUCUAUAUCCAAAAUUGAAUCAUCCAACCUUUUCUUCUGACCCCGUAAGAAUUUGAUAUUUUCUUCAUGGUGUUUAAUUUGAAGACCAAUUUCCUUCACUGCAUCCUCAAGUUUCUGCAGUAAUAGUCAUGAUAUUGAUCCAUUUACUUCACAAAAAUUAUCAUGUUCAUUAUCAUCUCAAAUAACAGAUGCUAUUAGAUAUAUCUAUACCUAUAAUCAAAACUACUAUGUAUAUUGCAUCCGUUAAUGACAAAAUAAAAUAAACUAGGCAGAUAUCGUUGAAAAUCAUAACCACCUUGGAUUCGCAGUAAAAGUCUCAGUAGUCCCAUUUUGCAUUGUCCUGAUUGCCAGCAAAAGUAAA